UUGCCCUAGUAACGGCGAGUGAAGCGGCAACAGCUCAAAUUUGAAAUCUGGCCUCGGCCCGAGUUGUAAUUUGCAGAGGAUGCUUCUGGCGCGGUGCCUUCCGAGUUCCCUGGAACGGGACGCCACAGAGGGUGAGAGCCCCGUAUGGUCGGACACCAAGCCUGUGUGAAGCUCCUUCGACGAGUCGAGUAGUUUGGGAAUGCUGCUCUAAAUGGGAGGUAAAUCUCUUCUAAAGCUAAAUACCGGCCAGAGACCGAUAGCGCACAAGUAGAGUGAUCGAAAGAUGAAAAGCACCUUGAAAAGGGGGUUAAAUAGUACGUGAAAUUGUUGAAAGGGAAGCACUUAUGACCAGACUUGGGCCGGGCGGCUCAUCAGGGGUUCUCCCCUGUGCACUCCGCCCGGCACAGGCCAGCAUCGGUUUUCGCGGGGGGAUAAGACCAGCGGGAACGUAGCACCCUCCGGGGUGUGUUAUAGCCCGCCGGACGAUACCCUCGCGGGGACCGAGGUCCGCGCUCCGCAAGGAUGCUGGCGUAAUGGUCAUCAGUGACCCGUCUUGAAACACGGACCAAGGAGUCGUCCAUUAGAGCGAGCGUUUGGGUGUAAAACCCGCACGCGUAAUGAAAGUGAACGCAGGUGAGAGCUUCGGCGCAUCAUCGACCGAUCCUGAUGUUCUCGGAAGGAUUUGAGUAAGAGUUUUAACGGACGGACCCGAAAAGACAGUGAACUAUGCUUUGUAUAGGGUGAAGCCAGAGGAAAACUCUGGUGGAGGCUCGCACGGG
rnacentral:rRNA from 1 species